UGCAAGCAUAGGCUUUCAAACAAGCACUGCAUGUCUCUGCUUGCAUUCUCCUUCCUCCGUCAGAGCCACGAGAUCGCCAUGAAGGACAGCCUAUUUGGAAGGCAGAGCUCAGCCACCCCGGUUGUCCAGCUAUGUCCAUCUUCUAAGAUCUCCUGACAACCAGAUAACCUCCAGAUAUGAUGGUGCAGACCAGACUCCGCCUGAGACGUGGGAUCCCAGCACAACCUCUCAGGAUCCCUAUGUAGAAGUUCUCGAGAGUUUCCUUGAGAUUUGGACCCAAAGGACACAUCAUUUCAGUGAAGAGCUUGCUAUGGAACUUUCUGCAAUAGCCCACAGCUUCUCGAACACUCAGAACCACUGAACAGUUCCACUGUGUGUAGUUUCAAGACACACACACGUGUCACGGAGCCACACUGCACACCUGGAGUCAGGAGAUCUUGCUGACACAGAUGCCGUGCAGACACCGAGGGGCAGAGAUAUUAACUGGCCACACAUCAGUAGCAGGGAGCAGUUCAAACACAGUUGAUCUCCACAGCCCAAACUGCCCACGGCUGAGUGGCCUUGGACACAGCACUCUUCUCCUUUUGGUGCUUCAGCUUCUUCCUCAGUGCAAUGGAGAUGUUGUAGUAAAGAUGAAAUAUGUUAAUGGGCAGAAAAUGCCCGAAUAAAUUUAAGUUAUUCAUUGUAGCCCAAGCCUGCAAGUUGGAUUUUUUUUGUGGGGAGAGGGUACCGGGGAUUGAACUCUGGUCCUUAUGCUUGUGAGGCAGGCAGCAGAACCACUGAGCUAAAUCCCUGGCCCUGAAGUUGGAAUUUUUAUCACACUUAUAUUUUACUGUAUCCCACUGGUCCAGUCCAUCUUUACUAUAAAGAUAAAAAACGUUCCCAAGAUCUUAAGAAAAUAAAUUUUAAAAAAAAGUUUUAUUCCAGAAAUUCUCAAAGUGCACUGAAAAAUGUUGGAUCCACCUUUCUCCUGAGUAGCAUAGGGGUGGAUUACACCACUGUGAGAGGCAGCAAUACAGGAGCAAAAGCCUGCAUGGACUGGGGUGCCCAUCUGCAGAAACCCAGCUCUCUGCAUUUCCGAAUAAUUUGAUUCACACCAUCUGGCAGCUUGAAAGAAAAAGAAAAAAAGAAGAGGGAGAAGAAACAACAGCCAUGUAGCAUGAAUGUAAUUCCUAAUCUAAGUUAUGCACUCUCAUUUGCUUCAUGUGAUAUGAGCCAAAUUUAAACAUGUCAACAUCUCAACAAUUGCUGAUUUUUUAACUGUUAUAUGGUGCAUCUGGUGGGCACUCAUUGAAUGUUCUUCGAUGACAGUGACGUAAAUGUAUUUACUAAAAUAUAGUGUAUUGAACAAGGAAAUAGUAUACUGUGAUGUCCUUUAGUUUGUGUUUGCAUAAAUUGGUGCUCUCUGAAAUAUGUGCAUUGAAAUUUAAAAGAGCAUGACUAUGCUUUUAAAAUGUUCAAAAAUCAUAAUUAUAGAGCUUGCAAGCCACUGAAUCCAUUUCCUUCAUUUUAAACACAGGAAAACAGGCCAAGAUUAGGUUUUGAUAGUGAGGGAGCUCAAGGACCCUAGACCCUGGCAAGGGGAAGAUAGGGGAGAGAGCCACAGGGCUGCAUAGAGGGACCACACAGGCUCUGGAACCCAGG
ensembl:lincRNA